GGCUGCCCCAGCCUGCUGUUUCCGGCUUCUCUGUCUACCCAGGUCCCUCCCUGGAGCUCUGACGACACAGAGAAGAGAAAGUGGGCUGGAGGAGGAAGAGGAAGAAAGUGGGGGUGCUACACUCCUGGUCGGAACUGGCACAGCCUGCAGGGUCCGAAGGGACAAGUCUGAGGUCUCAGAAGCCCAAUGUCCCCUGAACUUUGGCGAGAGGAGGGGAAGAAUGAAGGCAGCAGCCUCUAUCUAUGGCUCCUUUUGGGAAGUAGGAAGGCAAGGAUCAAGUACUGUACUGGAAGCGAGAAGUCCAAGAUCAAGGUGUUGGCAGUGGCAGAGUUGGUUCCGCAGUCUCAGGACUAUGAGAGAAUCCAUUCCAGGUCUUUCUCUUGGCCGUCUUCACAUUCACAUGGUGUUCUCUCUGUAA